UACGUAGGGGGCAAGCGUUGUCCGGAAUCAUUGGGCGUAAAGCGCGUGUAGGCGGUCCGGUAAGUCCGCUGUGAAAGUCCAGGGCUCAACCCUGGGAUGCCGGUGGAUACUGUCGGGCUAGAGUACGGAAGAGGCGAGUGGAAUUCCUGGUGUAGCGGUGAAAUGCGCAGAUAUCAGGAGGAACACCAAUUGCGAAGGCAGCUCGCUGGGACGUUACUGACGCUGAAACGCGAAAGCGUGGGGAGCAAACAGG
rnacentral:rRNA from 1 species